rnacentral:lncRNA from 1 species
CUUUUUUUUUUUUCCUGAGACAGAGUCUCGCUCUGUUGCCCAGGCUGGGGUGCAGUGGCGUGAUCUCAGCUGACUGCAACCUCCUCCUCCUGGGUUCAAGCAAUUCUCCUGCUUCAGCCUCCUGAGUGGCUGGAUUACAGGCAUGUGCCACCACACCUGGCUAAUUUUUUUUGUAUUUUUAGUAGACAGGAGGUUUCACCACGUUGGCCAGACUGGUCCCGAACUCCUGACCUCAAGUGAUCUGCCCGCCUCAGCCUUCCAAAGUACUGGGAUUACAAGUGUGUGCCACCAUGCCUGGCCCCAAGGCUUAACUCUUGAUUGGAAAAUAUGAUAGAGUUGCCAGAUAAAAUAUAUUUAGGAUAUUUUCACAUUAAAAUGUUAUUUAUUAUUUUUCUGAAAUUCAAAUUUUACUCGUCCUCUUGUAUUUUUAUAUUCUAUUUGUUUGCUAAAUCUGGAAACCUAAAAAGUGGACUCUUUUUUCUUUAACCACACAAACUAGGACUGUGACCAAAGAGAGAUACUGAAACCAGAACGUUCUUCUGCAAUUGAUAUUCACAACUAACUGACUAAACAUUCUGGUCGAGGAUGAGCAGUGAUUUGGUAUCUAGUACAGAUGUGUAUGGUGUGAUGCCAACCAGCCCCUGGCCAGUCUCUGUGAGCCUAGAAGCAUACAUACUUAAGGGAGUGCAGGUCUUGCCCUGCGACCUGCAGCAGCACACUCCGCCUCCCCCACCUCUUUCCCCUCCCUCUGGUCCUCCUUUCUCCAUCUGUCCCUUAGGGCUUAGGAGCUGAGCCCAAGGCUUCUGUAGGUUAUCACCAUCCCUGGGCUGCCUUCUUCCUCCUGAGAGGGGGCAGGGCAGGAUGAGAAAUGACCUCCAUUUAGCUAAAUUCAGGAGUGAGAUGACAUCCAUGUCACUAUCUUUUGCUUUUUAUGGAAAAAAUAUCUCUUUAGGCAAAUUUCUUACAUAGUUGCUUAAUCUUGUCUAAAAUGUGCUUUAUUUAAGAGUUUCACUCUCAGAGGAGGAUUUUGUUCUUCAAUUGUGGAGUGAUCUCUAUCACCAGUGACUAAAGCAGAUGUUGGAGCACAGAGAGCCAUACCCCAAAAUAUGAUGCUUCGGCAUGCUGACUGCUUUGAAAAUUGAAAGGCCUCAGAAAUAAUCCUCAGUGCCAGGGUCUCCCUCUGACCUCCCCCUACCUCCCUUUCUCUCUGAUCCUGUCUCUCCCAAAGCACAGAAUGAAGCUGUUCUCUGAAUUCCCUUAUCUACCUAGAAACUGGACCCCCAAAGAGGAACACAAUUUGCCUUUGAUCCCUUCCCUGAAAUUUCAUUAACCAGAGAAAAUUAAAACUUCUAUCACAAAGGAAGAGACUGAACAUUAAACACCAUAGCUACAGCCCAGACAAACUUCUUCCCAAACCAUUGUUUGUUCUCCUGCCUGUUAAAUUGCCAGAGAAUCAUUCACAAGAUAAAGUCUGCCUUCUGGGUCCAUUCAUUCCCCACUAAAAAUCUUUUACUCCUACACCCUCAUGUCUCCUUCCUCCAUGAAGAAGGGUCUAUAAACCUCUAGGCCUCAUUGGGUUAUUGGGUAAUCAUUCUCAUGCAGUUCCCCUGUGCUCUGCAUGUUAAAUAAAUUUGUAUGCCUUUUUCUCCUACCUGCCUUUUGUCAUUUUCAGUGAACCUUCAGAAGGUAAAGGCAGAAGCUUUCCUUCUUUGCCCCUAUAGUGUCAACAACAGCCAGCCAGGCAAAGGGUUUCAGAAACCCAAGUGGGAUUAAGAUGAUUAGCCACAUGGCUCUAUUCUACAAACUAGUGGUCAGAAUAACAAGCGUUUGCUUAUUAGGAGGUCGAGGUGGGAGAAUUGCUUGAGUUCAGGAGUUUUGAGACGAGCCUGGGCAACACAGUGAGACCCUGUCUCUAUUUAAUAAAAAUAAAAUAAAAUAAAAAUGUUUAAGUUUGCUUAAACAUUUUCAAAGCUUUCUAAAAACAAAUGGCUGUGUCCAUAUAUAUAUAUUUAAUUAUAAAAUAAUCAUGUAAAAUAUUUAAUCAUGUUCAAUCAUGCAUGUAUUGUAGACCUGUGAGAUGGCCAUUCUUUUGAAUUCUCCCAAUGACUUAGGAGCUCAGUUCAAUCCCAGAAAGUUUUUAUAUCUUUCAGACAGCUCUAAUUGUUUAAAGGUCUUCCAUUUAAAGAUGAAAUCUAGCUUUAUAUAGCUC